rnacentral:piRNA from 1 species
UACCUUAAAAGAUGGUCAUCGCCCCUCAGA